GACGAACCGUGCGAACGUUGUUCGGAAUCACUGGGCUUAAAGGGCGCGUAGGCGGCUCGCGAGGUCGGGGGUGAAAUCCCACGGCUUAACCGUGGAAGUGCCUUCGAUACCGGCGGGCUGGAGGAAGGUAGGGGUGCGCGGAACUUCUGGUGGAGCGGUGAAAUGCGUUGAUAUCAGAAGGAACGCCGGCGGCGAAAGCGGCGCACUGGACCUUUUCUGACGCUGAGGCGCGAAAGCCAGGGGGGCAAACGGG
rnacentral:rRNA from 1 species